rnacentral:rRNA from 1 species
GAUGAACGCUGGCGGCGUGCCUAGUACAUGCAAGUCGAGCGAACAGACGAGGAGCUUGCUCCUCUGCCGUUAGCGGCGGACGGGUGAGUAACACGUGGAUCACCUACCUAUAAGACUGGGAUAACUUCGGGAAACCGGAGCUAAUACCGGAUCAUAUAUUGAACCGCAUGGUUCAAUAGUGAAAGACGGUUUUGCUGUCACUUAUAGCUGGAUCCGCGCCGCAUUAGCUAGUUGGUAAGGUAACGGCUUACCAAGGCGACGAUGCGUAGCCGACCUGAGAGGGUGAUCGGCCACACUGGAACUGAGACACGGUCCAGACUCCUACGGGAGGCAGCAGUAGGGAAUCUUCCGCAAUGGGCGAAAGCCUGACGGAGCAACGCCGCGUGAGUGAUGAAGGUCUUCGGAUCGUAAAACUCUGUUAUUAGGGAAGAACAAAUGUGUAAGUAACUAUGCACGUCUUGACGGUACCUAAACAGAAAGCCACGGCUAACUACGUG